rnacentral:rRNA from 1 species
UACGGAAGGCAGCAGUGGGGAAUAUUGCACAAUGGGCGCAAGCCUGAUGCAGCCAUGCCGCGUGUAUGAAGAAGGCCUUCGGGUUGUAAAGUACUUUCAGUCGUGAGGAAGGUGUUAAGGUUAAUAACCUUAGCAAUUGACGUUAGCGACAGAAGAAGCACCGGCUAACUCCGUGCCAGCAGCCGCGGUAAUACGGAGGGUGCGAGCGUUAAUCGGAAUUACUGGGCGUAAAGGGCACGCAGGCGGUUAAUUAAGUUGGAUGUGAAAUCCCCGGGCUUAACCUGGGAAUGGCAUUCAAGACUGGUUAGCUAGAGUCUUGUAGAGGGGGUAGAAUUCCAUGUGUAGCGGUGAAAUGCGUAGAGAUGUGGAGGAAUACCGGUGGCGAAGGCGGCCCCUGGACAAAGACUGACGCUCAUGUGCGAAAGCGUGGGGAGCAAACAGGGAUUAGAUUACC